AUUGAACGCUGGCGGCAUGCCUUACACAUGCAAGUCGAACGGCAGCACAGGGAGCUUGCUCCUGGGUGGCGAGUGGCGAACGGGUGAGUAAUGUAUCGGAACGUGCCCAGUAGUGGGGGAUAACUACUCGAAAGAGUGGCUAAUACCGCAUGAGAUCUCUGGAUGAAAGUGGGGGACCGCAAGGCCUCACGCUACUGGAGCGGCCGAUAUCAGAUGAGGUUGUUGGUGGGGUAAAGGCCUACCAAGCCUGCGAUCUGUAGCUGGUCUGAGAGGACGACCAGCCACACUGGGACUGAGACACGGCCCAGACUCCUACGGGAGGCAGCAGUGGGGAAUUUUGGACAAUGGGCGCAAGCCUGAUCCAGCAAUGCCGCGUGCAGGAUGAAGGCCUUCGGGUUGUAAACUGCUUUUGUACGGAACGAAAAGGCUCUGGUUAAUACCUGGGGUCCAUGACGGUACCGUAAGAAUAAGCACCGGCUAACUACGUGCCAGCCGCCGCCGUAA
rnacentral:rRNA from 1 species